rnacentral:lncRNA from 1 species
CGAAAUGUCCGUAAAGUAUCAUCAUAUGAUUGGUUUUAGGGCACAUUUCCAACACGUAGCCCACAUACACAUACACACACUCAUGCACAUACAUAACACAUACACACCACACAUAAGUAUGGCAUGGCCCAAAACAAUCACACACACCUAUGCACAUGCACGGCCCACAUGCUAAUUAACCAAAAAGGGAAAAUGGGCUGGAAGGCCAUGAAAGAGUGUUCAAAGCACUCUGACGCUUUUCAACUUAAUAAUGGUUUGGUUGAGGGUUUUAGGUCUCAUCACAUAUAAAUAUACAUUUUAAUCUCUAUUAAAACUAUUUUGGUCCUAUUACAACUAUUGGUCCAUUUGAUUGUUUUUAGUUGUAUAUAAUACUCCCACUAUGCUUUAUAAAACGGUUUUUAAAGCAAGAGUAUAUGAUACUACUAACAUAACCUUUGCAUUCAUUUGAUGGACUAUAUA